CCACUGUCUAUUUUUUUCCCCCUUCCCCAUAAGCCUGAGGUGUGGGGGAGGCUCCCUCUCUGGAGGAGCAGGUCGGAAGACCUCCGUGCAAAAGCAGGGACCCCCUCCCGGCUGACCCUGUUCUCCUUCUGCAAAAUAACGGAACCCCACCGGUUCAGAACCGUGCCACUGCACCCAGAAGACAGCCCCGGAGGCUCCUGGCAGACCCUAUUGGGAAUUACACAGCAAGAUGGCUUUUCCUACUCCAUCAUGACUAGAGCCUCCUCUGCAAGGGCUGAAGCCCAUUGAUCUUGGCUUCAUUUGGAUACAUUUCAAGGGCCUCACUGGCUUUGGGCAAGUGCUGAAGUUCACUCAUUUUCUAUUGGUUGUUUCUCCCCGUGAAAGACAUUGAACAUAAGUGGUGUGGAAUAAUGUUACGCUUCUCUGAAGGGUCCUAAAUGGUUGAAGAACACCCCUCAAGAGAUGGAAAGAAUCUAAGAGCCAGAGAGAAUGGAUGACUCCAAGGAAACACAAUGGGACGGAUGACCACAUGAACGCUCCGUGACUCUAGCAGCUUGCACCAGGCCUGU
rnacentral:lncRNA from 1 species